AUAAAAGUUAAUUAUUUAAUUACAGAUUGGUGGAAUCCAGAUUCUGUGAAUGUACAUGUAAUUGAUUGACAAGUACACAUUUGACAAGGUGGUGAGAAACGUGUAGAUCUGGCCUGCUUACAGUGGCUAUUGGAUUGGACAGAACCAAAGUGAGAGUGAACGUGUGAAUUUAUGGAGAACAUUAAAAACUAUUUUACUAUAAGUCAUAACGCAACUUAUUUUGUAUGAGUU